GGCACAUUUAGGGCAGACAAAGCCCCCCAGGGUCUGCACCCAAAAAUGGAUGAUGGGUCAGGGUUUUCACACUUGAUAAGUUUGGUCCAUUUGCAUAUUGGGAGUGAACCUUCCAAUUACAACUUCAGUGAGAUUUUCAGUUUCAUUUUUGAGCUACAGAACUGAUCUGCAUAACAGCUGUUGGCUCACAUUCCAGUGGAAGUCAAAAUCUGGAUGGCUGAGGGCUUGUAAAGAGAAAAGGUGCAGGGAAGUCCAUGGUAAUGGAUCAGAGAGUUAUUCUUUAUGGACAGCAGAUGGACCGGGAUAUUCCCAACUGAACAUGAAAUGGAAUUUAACAGAGAUCUGCAGAUCCCUCAAGUCCCUCAGAGAAGCAUUUGAUAGCAGAGACAUUGAUUGGAGACCUGUCUGUAAACUUCUAUUUGGGAAAAUAAAAAUUCCAUUAAA